GGGAGUGUCAGCACGCCUGGUGGCGGCCACGGGCUUCAAACCCGUUGUGGGGUCUGUUAAGCAGGUCCCGGGUGGGUUCGAUUCCCAUCCACUCCCG
rnacentral:tRNA from 1 species